AUGAAACGUAAGUUGAAUGUGAAGAAUCUGAAACUUUUAGAAAGAAGCCUUGAUUGGGCCACAGUUCUGAGCCACUCAAAGCAGAAGUUUAAGUAAUACUCCUGGUAUAAGAGAUGCCAUUCUUGAACUUGCUCACUUUUGACUAUGAAACUAUAACUUUCACCUCAUCCAAGCACCUAAAUAGAUGGGGUAAGUCCGACAUGAGCAGGUAACCACCACCAGCUUCCCUUGGCUUAAAAGCAAAGUAAUGGAUGUGGCCCAUUUCCUGUGGUGAAAUGUCAUAUCUGCCACUAUGUAGCAGGGAUAGAUGGUGGUUUCAGUUGGGGGUAAUAUGGUCAUUUUACAUAGGUAUCUUGUUCAUUGUGUUACCCCAUUUCAAUGGUGGGAAAGCAGGCCUUGUCAAAAAGGGUAAAUGAAUGCAUGAUUGACAUUUUUGUGCUUUCUGGUGAAGCUAUUGUCUUUAUGGGCAUGAAAUCCUUGUCUCUGAAGCUUGAAGUAUUGUGAAUGGAGGCCAGAUUUCUUUUGAAAUGUUCCCACUUAAGCAAGCAUCAUAAAGAGUAGAUAAUAAUUCAUAGCUCAAAAAAUGGACAAGUUUAGUGUCCUUUUUUUUGGCCUGAAAACCAUGUAAAGUAAUAGAAGAAUCCUCCUGUUCUUUCUCCUUCAGUUUUAAAUUUACAUCUUUAUCAGAUCGAGAA